rnacentral:tRNA from 1 species
CGUUCGGCCACGGGCUCACGGCGGUCUCGGCCGCGCUCCGGCUGCGGCUGCUGACCCCGGUCUGGCGGGUGAGCUCGGUGUUCGCGUUGAUCGU